UACAGAGGGUGCGAGCGUUGUUCGGAAUUAUUGGGCGUAAAGCGCGUGUAGGCGGCCAACUAAGUCGGGUGUGAAAGCCCUCAGCUCAACUGAGGAAGUGCGCCCGAGACUGGAUGGCUUGAGUGCUGGAGAGGGUGGCGGAAUUCCCCAAGUAGAGGUGAAAUUCGUAGAGAUGGGGAGGAACACCGGAGGCGAAGGCGGCCACCUGGACGGUAACUGACGCUGAGACGCGAAAGCGUGGGGAGCAAACAGG
rnacentral:rRNA from 2 species